rnacentral:tRNA from 1 species
GGGCGCGUAGCUCAAUGGUAGAGCAGUGGCCUUUUAAGCCAUUUGUUGAGAGUUCGAUCCUCUCCGCGCUCA